rnacentral:hammerhead_ribozyme from 1 species
AUCCAGCUGACGAGUCCCAAAUAGCACGAAAGGCACGUCCUGAAU